rnacentral:rRNA from 1 species
AGCGAACGCUGGCGGCAGGCCUAACACAUGCAAGUCGAACGAAGUCUUCGGACUUAGUGGCGGACGGGUGAGUAACACGUGGGAACGUACCUUUUGGUUCGGAAUAACGCAGGGAAACUUGCGCUAAUACCGAAUGUGCUCUUCGGAGGAAAGAUUUAUCGCCAUUAGAGCGGCCCGCGUUGGAUUAGGUAGUUGGUGGGGUAAAGGCCCACCAAGCCUACGAUCCAUAGCUGGUCUGAGAGGAUGAUCAGCCACACUGGGACCGAGACACGGCCCAGACUCCUACGGGAGGCAGCAGUGGGGAAUCUUGCGCAAUGGGCGGAAGCCUGACGCAGCCAUGCCGCGUGAAUGAUGAAGGUCUUAGGAUUGUAAAAUUCCUUUACCGGGGGCGAUAAUGACGGUACCCGGAGAAAAAGCCCCGGCAAACUUCGUGCCAGCCGCCGCAGUAA